CAAAAUAAGAGAAUAUAUUAAAAUCCAAUACAAGUAGAACUGAGAAGAAGUAGCUAGUAGAUAAAUGAGAGAAGAAGUAAAGAGCUUUAAACAAAUAUCCAAUAUGCAGACCAAUAA
rnacentral:misc_RNA from 1 species